rnacentral:rRNA from 1 species
AUUGAACGCUGGCGGCAUGCCUUACACAUGCAAGUCGAACGGUAGCGCGGGAGCAAUCCUGGCGGCGAGUGGCGAACGGGUGAGUAAUACAUCGGAACGUGCCCAAUCGUGGGGGAUAACGCAGCGAAAGCUGUGCUAAUACCGCAUAUGAUCACGGUGUCUGCGGACACAGGGAUGAAAGGAGCAAUUCGCUUCAGGAGGAGCCCGCGGCUGAUUAGCUAGUUGGUGAGGUAAAGGCUCACCAAGGCAACGAUCAGUAUCCGGUCUGAGAGGACGGUCGGACACACUGGAACUGAGACACGGUCCAGACUCCUACGGGAGGCAGCAGUGGGGAAUUUUUCGCAAUGGGGGCAACCCUGACGAAGCAACGCCGCGUGGGUGAUGAAGUCUCUUGGGACGUAAAAGGGUUUCGACGGG